AGCAGCCGCGGUAAUUCCAGCUCCAAUAGCGUAUAUUAAAGUUGUUGCAGUUAAAAAGCUCGUAGUUGAAUUUCGGGAUCGAAUUGUCGGUCGUGCUUCGGUACGCACUGGCAUUAUCGGUUCCUACCUUCUGAAGAACCGCAAUGUCAUUAAUUUGGUGUCGUGGGGAAUCAGGACUGUUACUUUGAAAAAAUUAGAGUGUUUAAAGCAGGCUUACGCUUGAAUACAUUAGCAUGGAAUAAUGAAAUAGGACGUUUGAUUCUAUUUUGUUGGUUUCUAGGAUCGACGUAAUGAUUAAUAGGGAUAGUUGGGGGCAUUAGUAUUCAAUUGUCAGAGGUGAAAUUCUUGGAUUUAUUGAAGACUAACUACUGCGAAAGCAUUUGCCAAGGAUGUUUUCAUUAAUCAAGAACGAAAGUUAGGGGAUCGAAGACGAUCAGAUACCGUCGUAGUCUUAACCAUAAACUAUGCCGACUAGGGAUCGGAUGAUGUUAAUUUUAUAAUGACUC
rnacentral:rRNA from 1 species